ensembl:lncRNA
UGCAUGUCUUUCUUCACAUGAUAUUCUUUUCUUAAGGACAAUAUCAGAGGCCUACCCUACUCCAGUAUAACCUCAUCUUAACUAAUGACAUCACAAUGACCCUAUUUCCAAAUAAGGUCACAUUCUGAAGUCCUAGGUUGGAGACUGGUUAGGACUUCAAUGUGUGAAUUUUGAGGGGGACAUAAUUCAACCUAAAUCGGAUAGCUUGAAACCACAAUGUGAAAGGUCUUGGAGAGCAUUUGAAAAGGCAUCACAUUCGUCCUGUGGGAAGCUUUUGACGUUUAUGAACAGAGCAGUACUAUGAUUACAGAGAAAGACAGAAGAAAGAUGGAAGGAUGUUUGGAAGAAGUUGAAGACUGAAUAGGGUGACAUGCAGAAAGAAGAAAAACUUCCAGAUCAAUUCUUGUGAUAUGGUGCUGAAAGAAGAUCAUCUCUGUGGGGCCAUUACAGGAUAAUGCACAGGAAUAAAUAAGCACAACGAUAGGUCUCAGCAAAGACAACCGGGUCUCAAGUUGGUCCCACAUUUGGAAAUGGUGCAUGUACAAUGAGCAGGUUUAUCGAUGAGAAAUUUAAGCUCAGAAAGGUUUUCUUCCUCUCCCCACAACAGAAGAGCAAAGAAGGAGGAGAGCAGACUAGAGCUUUAAGAAGUAUUUACCCCAGAAAAAAGAGAAACACUUCUAGUGUUUAGUUGAUUUUAUGCAAUGACUUCCUGCUUGUAAUCCUUGGAUAAGUAAAUGUAUAUUUGUCCUUUUCCAUAGUAUAAUAACUGUGUAUUGUCACCUUCCUUAUUUAACUUCUGUGCACAGUAUGUCAUGUGAAAUGCCAGGCUGGAUGAAUCACAAACUGGCAUCAAGUUUACCAGGAGAAAUAUCAACCUCAGAUAUGCAGAUGACACCACUAUAAUAGCAGAAAGUGAAGAGGAACUAAAGAGCCUCUUGAUGAGGGUGAAAGAAGAGAGUGAAAAAGCUGACUUAAAAAUAAACAUUCAAAAAAACCAAGAUCAUGGCAUCCAGUCCUAUCACUUCAUGUCAAAUAGAUGGAGAAAAAGUGGAAACAGUGAGAGAUUUUCUUUUCUUGCACUCCAAAAUCACCGUGUAUGGUGACUGCAGUCAUGAAAUUAAAAGAAUCAUGCUCCUUUGAAGGAAAGUUAUGACCAACCUAAAGAGCAUAUUAAAAAACAGAGAUGUCACUUUGCUGACAAAGGUCCAUAUAGUCAAGGCUAUGGUUUUUCCAGUAGUCAUGUAUGGUUAUGAGAGUUGGACCAUAAAGAAGGCUGAGUGCUGAAAAAUUAAUGCUUUUGAACUGUGGUGCUGGAGAAGACUCUUGAGAGUCCUUAGGACAGCAAGGUGAUCAAACCAGUCAAUCCUAAAAGAAAUCAACCCUAACUAUUCAUUGGAAGGACUGAUGCUAAAGCUCCAGUACUUCGGCCACCUGAUUUGAAGAGCCAGCUCAUCAGAAAAGACCCUGAUGCUGGGAAAGAUUGAGUGUAGGAGAAGAAAGGGGUGACAUAAGAUGAGAUGGUUGGAUGGUAUCAUGGACACAGUGAACAGGAUUUUGAGCAAACUCAGGGAGACAGUGAAGGA